rnacentral:lncRNA from 1 species
UCACCUUUACCUCAUUUUGCAUGCAUCCUCCAAUUGUUUCCCAUCUUGUUUUCUGAAAUUUAAUGGUGAGAUCUUUCUAUGUCAGUUACCACACAAACCCACGAGUGACACAUGUUCGUGGCGGAGCUGUCUCUAUAUAAGAAGAGGUAGGAGAUGAUUCUCCGGGCAUGAGAUGAGGGAUCGGUAAUUAUAAUCAAAGGUGAAGGAAAGGUCCUGCUACUUCUAGUUAGGAGUAAAAGCAAUUUCUAAUCUAUUUUGACGGAGGUUCGGUGUAAGAUGAUGUAAAUUGUCGAGCCAGGGCUGAGAAUGGAACUCAAAAUUUGAGGCAAAACGGUGAGUUGCUAUAACCCCGUCUCCAUCGGCAUUUUACGUGAAAGGUCAUCAAACCAAACCGUCAUUGCUUAAAUGGAGCUGAUCUGAGAGAGUGUGACCGAACUUGAAGUGAGGGGCUUAGGAACGACAAGUGGGCCGAAAGCACAAUUUCAAUUAAAGAGGCAGAUGUUACUCUCGUCCAAAAAGAAACAUCUCGCCCAAAAAGCAAUUGAAGAGAUAAGGAUUCUCAAAAGUCUCAAGUGUGAUAGCCCACACACCUUAAGGCCCAAUUGUGAACUCCUUUACGAGGGUGCACGGUGGAGCUGUUUCCAGGGAAGCAAACUCCAAUAAUGAAACAGUAACUCACAUUCUAAUUUUAUAGAUAGAUUCUACUUUUAUAAGAUAGAUUUUGUUUUUCUUUCUUAUAUUUGUUUUUUUGUUUUGUAUUUACUUUUUAUAUAUUUGUGUUUUGUUUUUGGAUACUCAAUACCA